GAUAUGUCUGGGGCUAUAUAGUGAGAAUUUACCGGCCAGAAUCCGGUAGAGAAAGAAAGGCGCUGCUCUAUCCAAAUUCCAAUCCAUCUCAAGCUUCUUCCCUGAGACACUCUUUCCUACUUCCAGAUUCCGGCGCAGAGCUAUGGGGUUUCUAUCUUGGUGGGCAGAAGGCAAUAAGGAGGCUCCUUCUUCCUCAUCCUCACCGGAAGCCAAACCACCACAAAAGUCUGAUUCAACUGUCAAGGGACAUGCCGAGGUGCCUGGCAUGAACGGCGCCGUUGAGGUCCUGCGUACUCCUCCACUUAUGCCGGCCGAUGUUACGGUUUUCGAAUUCGGAUCCGUCUCCGCAUCGACUGACAAGGUCACGCUCGCUGGAUAUUGUCCUAUCACCGACGACCUCGAUCCCUGCCGGUGGGAGAUUUUACCCGCAGACUGUGAAGAGGCUCCUCAGUUUAGGAUUGUUUUCUGAGAGAUCAUGCUAGCUAGCUAGCUGGCGGCUCCAUCUUUAUGGAGUAAGAACUUGGUUUCUAUUUACCAAACACAAAUUAUUUAAACACUAUAUUUACAAUUAUUCUAGUAUAAAAUUUAAAAUUCUAUCAUUUGAACAACCCAUCUUACAAAAAAAAAAUAUAUCUACAAAAUGUUAUGUUUUUAAAAAAUUUAAAUUCUGUAAAAAGUUUGUAUUGAUGAUCUAUUUUUUUAGUUAAUCUAUGGAUUCAAAUUUGUUUCACAAUCUUAAAUCACUUCUUCAUUAUUUAUGAUUUCAAAUUAUAGUUAUCUUUCUAUCAUUUUCAUUGAUUAAAAGUCAUUCAAUAGAUCAAAUUUUAGAAAACAAUAAUUUUCUGAAAACAGAAUUUUCUAAGAUUGCAGAAAAAUAAGAUUUUGCAAAUCCAUUAGCUAUGAUUCAAUUAUCAAAGAGCAAUUUGAAAUUAUUUUAUCUUUCAAUUACGAUAAUAGAUGCAUUCUCUAAUAUGUCCACGAACAGAACAUUAUAAGCGACGAUAAAUGAUCAAUCUGAUUAUCUCCACUCUCACCAGCCACGCGGAUCUCGUCUUCAUCAUACUCAUAAAAGAAAUGUGAGUUGGAGUAACAAUAUCUAUAGGUUGAAAGAGAUUGCAGUGGGAAGUAAAUAAAUUGGAAAUUAGAAUGAGCAAAAAAAUCUACCUCUUCUUCAUUUCACAUUUUCGUUUUUAUAGUUCAGUUCUGUUACAUAUAAGUGUAAAUAAACGAAUUACAAUUGAUUCCUAAAAUUACAGAAAAUGAAAAUUUGCAAUUCAAUUGAUUUGGUUAGAUUUGUUUUUCUGUAUUUUUUGUUUAAUCCUCUUCUCAAAAUGAUAAUCUUGGAGGUUUAAUCCUUCUUUGAGAUUAAUUAAGUGUUUUCCUUCUAUAUUCAGCCUUAG